UACGGAGGGCGCAAGCGUUAUCCGGAUUCACUGGGUUUAAAGGGUGUGUAGGCGGAUUUUUAAGUCAGUGGUGAAAUCUCCGGGCUCAACCCGGAAACUGCCAUUGAUACUAUUAGUCUUGAAUUCUGUUGAGGUGGGCGGAAUACAUCAUGUAGCGGUGAAAUGCUUAGAUAUGAUGUAGAACACCGAUUGCGAAGGCAGCUCACUAAGCAGACAUUGACGCUGAGGCACGAAAGCGUGGGGAUCAAACAGG
rnacentral:rRNA from 1 species